GGGGAUGUAGCUUAGUGGUAGAGCUAGUACUUAACAUGUUCAUGUCCUAAGUUCAAUCCCCAGCACUUCUA
rnacentral:tRNA from 1 species